rnacentral:tRNA from 1 species
UCCGGGGUAGCUCAACCGGCAGAGCGGCGGCCUGUUAAGCCGAAGGUUGCGAGUUCGAGUCUCGCCCCCGGAG